UGGGUGCCCAAGCCCUUGGAUGUCCACGUGGGGCUCGGAUCUAAGGUCACUGGCGACAUUGGCCCCGUGCAUCCUUCCCACUGCCCCGGGAAGCAGUGGCCUCUCCCUCCGCCCCGCUGGGCAGAGGGAGAGAGGCACAGGGAGGUUAUCGCUCAUGCCCAGUAGCCACACGGAACUCAGAAGCUGUCAGCCAGGAUCUGAACUUGCAACCUGAGAGGUGGAUGGUGGUGGGACAUGCUGGUGGGCAGGAGCUG
rnacentral:lncRNA from 1 species